rnacentral:rRNA from 1 species
AUUCCCYGAGUAAGGGCGACUGAAACGGGACCUAGCCCAGCGCAUAACCUCGCGGUUCGGACAGAGCCGACGAGGGGUGUUGCGUAUCGGUGGAUCCGUCCCGCUCGUGCUCUACCGCCUAAGUCCAAGUAGGAAUACAGCCCCAGGGAGGGUGAGAGGCCCGUGUGGCGGCGCCCGCAAGGGCUACUAGAGCGCGGGCGGAGGGAUCGCUUCACCGGAGAGUCGGGUUGCUUAAUACUGCAGCCCUAAGAGAGGUGGUAAACUCCAUCUAAGGCUAAAUACAACCACGAGUCCGAUAGGAGACAAGUACCGUGAGGGAAAGUUGAAAAGGACUUUGAAGAGAGAGUUCAAGAGUACGUGAAGCCGUUAGAAGCUUAAACGGGUGGAACCGCGAAGGUCGAACGAGGGCACUCACCUCGUCGGGCGGGCGGGACCUGGGGWGCUCCGACAGGCAGGCGCCGAUGUCCARAGUGUGAGCGCAGGAGCGCCCCGUCCGUCGCGUCCCGUUCCGGCGGGCGUAYUUGUCCCUCCAGUAGGGAACGCCGCGAGCCGUGGCGGGGACCAGAAGGCCCRCGUAGCCCGGAUUGGUACCCUCGGUCCGGAGGGGAAACCGCGGCUGGGAGUYGCUUGGUGGCCCUGCCACGGCUUGGCCCAGGGCAGCGCCUCGCGCGCUGCCUCGCGGCGGAGRACGAAGUCGGUGAUCCACCUGACCCGUCUUGAAACACGGACCAAGGAGUCUAACAAGUGUGCGAGUCUAAGGGYCCGUCGAGACCCGGAGGCGCAAUGAAAGUGAGUGAGAAAUGCAGGCCGAUCCCCCGCGGAGACGCGGGGGCGCAGGCCGGGGACUUGCCGCYCGGCGGCCUYCGACGGCCUCCCUCGGGGGGCUCCGGGGGUCCGCCGGCAAGUACCUCCAGAGCACACGCGUUGGGACCCGAAAGAUGGUGAACUAUGCCUGGCCAGGACGAAGCCAGAGGAAACUCUGGUGGAGGUCCGAACCAGUUCUGACGUGCAAAUCGAUUGUCAGAGCUGGGUAUAGGGGCGAAAGACUAAUCGAACCA